rnacentral:rRNA from 1 species
AACGAACGUUAGCGGCGCGCCUAAUACAUGCAAGUCGAGCGAGAAAGGGAUUCGUCCCCAGUAAAGCGGCGCACGGGUGAGUAACACGUAGGUCAUCUACCCUCGGGUGGUGGAUAACAUUCCGAAAGGAGUGCUAAUACAGCAUAACACCGCAAGGACAAAGCGGGCCUCUCUAUAGAAGCUCGCGCCUGAGGAUGAGCCUGCGGCCCAUCAGCUAGUUGGCAGUGUAAAAGACUACCAAGGCUAAGACGGGUAGCUGGUCUGAGAGGGUGAACAGCCACACUGGAACUGAGACACGGUCCAGACUCCUACGGGAGGCAGCAGUAGGGAAUCUUGCGCAAUGGGCGAAAGCCUGACGCAGCGACGCCGCGUGAGUGAUGAAGGCCUUCGGGUUGUAAAGCUCUGUGGGGAGAGAAGAAUAAGUGCAAGCUAAUACUUUGCAUGACGACGGUAUCUCCUUAGCAAGCACCGGCUAACUCUGUGCCAGCCGCCGCCGUAA